AUUAAAGUUGUAUUAUUAUUAUUAUUCUUAAUGCUAAAGGCAUCCUCCCUAAACUGCAAAUAUCAGGAGUCCAUUGGAGGUUGCCAUGGUAACUGUUAUGGUUGAGCCUUCUGGCUCCGGUACUGGGAGACGGGGUCGUAAGACUCCUCGAGAGUCAGACUCUUUUGAGGAGCGAGAAAGGAAACGGCUCCGGGACUUAUUUGCAGAACCAACUGACGAAGACUCAUUUGAGGGUUUUACCGAGGGAAUGGAGGAAGAAAUGACUGACUGACUGACUACGACCCUGGACUAUCCCUUCUGUGGCUAUCGGUGAACUCGUGGAACUCUAGACGCCUGCACUUGGCUUCCGACCUCGGACCGGACUGGGACCCCGCUGACCGCCGUGAUCCUGAUUGAUGUGCCUGGACCCGGAUUUCGCUCGUUGCACGGAGGAGUAACAGCCUGAGUUACUCAUCUGUAGCUUUUGGGUAGCAGAGAGGAAUCUGCUGCCAGUUUUUUGUGUUCAUUUUGACCUUUGUUUAUCAACUUUUGUUUGUUUAAAUUGCCAGGCUGAAGUAAGCACUUUUGAGUUCGGAUUAAACUCCUGUUUAAUCCGGUUUAUUCUUUCGAACCAUUUUAAUUCAAGCGGAGCUGUUUUUGUUAUUUUUUCACUGAAGACAAGUGUUUGCCUAGUCCUUUGUUUUCUACGGGCACUCUUCAGUUCUGUAACUUCAAUAAACUGUGUUGUACUCUAUUUGGUGGCGUUCUGUCUAUGACAGUAACUGAUGCGGAACCAUCACGUGGGGACACUGUAGUGAGGCAGCGCCCUUGAUUUCACAACCUUGAGAGGCAGGUCAGACUGAGGGCCCUUCCUCGCAGCCAUAUAACCCAGAAUAUCAAGGCAGAAAAUCCCACAAUAUCUGCUUUAACUGGGUUAUCUGUCUACACUGCCAUAUAACAAAAUUCAAAGCCCCUUCCACACAGCUGUACAAAAUCCACACUGAAGUGGAUUAUAUGGCAGUGUGGACUCCGGGCCCUUUCAGACAGGCCCCAUAUCCCAGGAUCCGAUCCCAGGUUUUCUGUUUAUCCCAGAUUAUCUGGCAGUGUGGAUUCAUAUAAUCCAGUUUAAAGCAGAAAACCUGGGAUCAGAUCCUGAGAUAUAGGGCCUGCCUGGAAGGGCCCUGAGUCCACACUGCCAUAUAACCCAGAA
rnacentral:lncRNA from 11 species